GACACGGUUUUGGAUGGCCCAGUGGUAGAAAGAGUCCUGGGCGGUCACCGAGUAUAUGACACUGAAUACCUCACCACUCUUUAUCAACUCUGGAGGACGAAGAACCCAAGCCAUCUCCAGACCUGGACAAGAGCCACGGGUCGAUCAUGUUGUACUCGUUGGGCCUGUCCAGAGGCCAGCAGUCGUACUCGCUGUUGUCCAAAUCAUGCCAGCAAAACACCAGACCAACACCACAAGCAGACAUCUGGAAACAACAUGACAUGCGACGGAUAGGUGGACAGGAUGGAGACAGGUAGAAAGACUGACUGAGGGUCUCGGACAUCUGCAGCUUCUGAGCUGCUCGCUCGCUGUGGAGUCAGAGCUGAUGGAGCGGUGGGAGGCAGAGCGAGGCAGGAGACACCAGAGAGAGAGAGAAAGAGAGAUUGGAUUCAGUAUUUCUCCCGUGCGCUGUCAAAGCUGAACGCAGUGUUUUACAUAGAGAUGGCUAUACUUCACUGCCCUCUGGUGGUGGCUGCUGUUACUGCACUGAUCUUUAAACAUUUUCUAUUAACUCAGUUGAGUUUUUCCCUCUCUACAUUUUUAAUUCUCUACCGAUCAAGGCUUUAAUAAAUUAAGAAAAUA